rnacentral:rRNA from 1 species
AUUUUAGGCAUGCUGGUCGCACGAGUUCAGACUCGUGGCGAAUAGCUCAGUAACACGUGGCCAAACUACCCUUCGGAACACAAUACCCUCGGGAAACUGAGGCUAAUAGUGUAUACCAUACCACCACUGGAAUGAGUGGUAUGCCAAACGCUCCGGCGCCGAAGGAUGUGGCUGCGGCCGAUUAGGUAGACGGUGGGGUAACGGCCCACCGUGCCAAUAAUCGGUAUGGGUCAUGAGAGUGAGAACCCAGAGACGGAAUCUGAGACAAGAUUCCGGGCCCUACGGGGCGCAGCAGGCGCGAAACCUUUACACUGCACGACAGUGCGAUAGGGGGAUCCCAAGUGCACAGGCAUAGCGCCUGUGCUUUUCGGUACCCUAAGGCGGUACCAGAAUAAGGGCUGGGCAAGACCGGUGCCAGCCGCCGCGGUAAUACCGGCAGCCCAAGUGAUGGCCGAUCUUAUUGGGCCUAAAGCGUCCGUAGCUGGCCGCGCAAGUCCAUCGGGAAAUCCACCUGCUCAACAGGUGGGCGCCCGGUAGAAACUGCGUGGCUUUGGGACCGGAAGGCGCGACGGGUACGUCCGGGGUAGGAGUGAAAUCCCGUAAUCCUGGACGGACCGCCGAUGGCGAAAAGCACGUCGCGAGAAACGGAUCCGACAGUGAGGGACGAAAGCCAGGGUCUCGAACCGGAUUAGAUACCCGGGUAGUCCUGGCCGUAAACAAUGUCUUGCUAGGUGUGGCCUCCCACUACGAGUGGGUGCUGUGCCGUAAGGGAAGCCGCUAAGCAGACCGCCUGGGAAGUACGUCCGGCAAGAAUGAUAACUUAAAAGGGAUUUGGCGGGGGAGAACUACAACCGGAAGGAGCCUGCCGGUUUAUUGGGACUCAACGCCCGACAUCUCACCCAGCAUCGACUGUAGUAAUGACGAUCAG